GGCAUGGAUUAGGCAUGCAAGUCGAACGAAUCCGUUGUAAUACGGAUAGUGGCAAAAGGGUGAGUAACGCAUAGGUGAUCUACCUUCUGGUUUGGAAUAACUCUGCGAAAGCGGAGCUAAUACCAUAUAAGACCACGUUCCUAUACGGAAUGAGGUCAAAGCUGGGGACCCCAACAGGGCCUGGCGCGAGAAGAGGAGCCUGUGUCCUAUCAGCUUGUUGGUAAGGUAAUGGCUUACCAAGGCUAAGACGGGUAGCUGGUCUGAGAGGAUGGUCAGCCACACUGGGACUGAGACACUGCCCAGACUCCUACGGGAGGCUGCAGUCGAGAAUCUUUUGCAAUGCGCGAAAGCGUGACAAUGCGACGCCGCGUGAGCGAUGACGCCCUUCGGGGUGUAAAACUCUGUCAGCCCGGAUGAAUAUUGCCUUCUAACAAAAGGUGGAGAUGACAGUACGGGCAGAGGAAGCCACGGCUAACUCCGUGCCAGCAGCCGCGGUAAUACGGAGGUGGCAAGCGUUGUUCGGAUUCAUUGGGUGUAAAGGGUAUGUAGGUGUCUUGAUAAGUUGAAUGUGAAAUCCCUUGGCUUAACCAAGGAACUGCAUUCAAAACUGUCAGGAUUGAGUAUGGAAGAGGAGAUUGGAAUUCCAGGUGUAAGGGUGAAAUCUGUAGAUAUCUGGAGGAACACCAGUGGCGAAGGCGGAUCUCUGGGCCAAUACUGACACUGAAAUACGAAAGCUAGGGUAGCAAACAGGAUUAGAUACCCUGGUAGUCCUAGCAGUAAACGAUGGGCACUAGGUGCAGGUUGGUUACAAUCUGUGCCGCAGUUAACACAUUAAGUGCCCCACCUGGGGAGUACGGCCGCAAGGUUGAAACUCAAAGGAAUUGACGGGGGCUCACACAAGCGGUGG
rnacentral:rRNA from 1 species